AGAGUUUGAUCCUGGCUCAGGAUGAACGCUGGCGGCGCGCCUAACACAUGCAAGUCGAACGGCACCCAUCUUCGGAUGGAAGCGAGUGGCGAACGGCUGAGUAACACGUGGAGAACCUGCCCCCUCCCCCGGGAUAGCCGCCCGAAAGGACGGGUAAUACCGGAUACCCCGGGGUGCCGCAUGGCACCCCGGCUAAAGCCCCGACGGGAGGGGAUGGCUCCGCGGCCCAUCAGGUAGACGGCGGGGUGACGGCCCACCGUGCCGACAACGGGUAGCCGGGUUGAGAGACCGACCGGCCAGAUUGGGACUGAGACACGGCCCAGACUCCUACGGGAGGCAGCAGUGGGGAAUCUUGCGCAAUGGGGGGAACCCUGACGCAGCGACGCCGCGUGCGGGACGGAGGCCUUCGGGUCGUAAACCGCUUUCAGCAGGGAAGAGUCAAGACUGUACCUGCAGAAGAAGCCCCGGCUAACUACGUGCCAGCAGCCGCGGUAAUACGUAGGGGGCGAGCGUUAUCCGGAUUCAUUGGGCGUAAAGCGCGCGUAGGCGGCCCGGCAGGCCGGGGGUCGAAGCGGGGGGCUCAACCCCCCGAAGCCCCCGGAACCUCCGCGGCUUGGGUCCGGUAGGGGAGGGUGGAACACCCGGUGUAGCGGUGGAAUGCGCAGAUAUCGGGUGGAACACCGGUGGCGAAGGCGGCCCUCUGGGCCGAGACCGACGCUGAGGCGCGAAAGCUGGGGGAGCGAACAGGAUUAGAUACCCUGGUAGUCCCAGCCGUAAACGAUGGACGCUAGGUGUGGGGGGACGA
rnacentral:rRNA from 1 species